rnacentral:misc_RNA from 1 species
GUGAAUAUUCUCCAAUCAAUCAUAUGGAUCUCAAGGAUGUGGCGAAAUGUCCUCCUUGUUUUCCGCUCACAUAUGACCCUUUUCUAUAAAUGUGCACCUGCUGGAAGCGUUUCAACCUUCCAUUUUUUAAACUACAAACUCUCGAGGAACAUGUAAAUGUCAUUCAAUCCGCAAUAAAUAAA